AUCCAUCUGACGUGUCUCACAUAGGACGAAACGCGCGUCCUGGAU
rnacentral:hammerhead_ribozyme from 1 species